rnacentral:tRNA from 1 species
GGGAAUAUGGCUUAGUGGUAGAGUGCUUGCCUAACAUUCAAGAAGCCCUGGGUUUGAUUCCUCAGUACCA